rnacentral:rRNA from 1 species
AUUGAACGCUGGCGGCAGGCUUAACACAUGCAAGUCGAGCGAGCGGCGGACGGGUGGGUAAUGUCUGGGAAACUGCCUGAUGGAGGGGGAUAACUACUGGAAACGGUAUCUAAUACCGCAUACCAUCAGAUGUGCCCAGAUGGGAUUAGCUUUUUGGUGGGGUAACGUAUCACCAAGGCGACGAUCCCUAGCUGGUCUGAGAGGGUGACCAGCCACAGUGGAACUAGGGGACGGUCCAGACUCCGACGGGAGGCAGCAGCGAGGAAUAUUGCACAAUGUGAGCAAGCCUGAUGCAGCCAUGCCGCGUGUAUGAAGAAGGCCGUCGGGUUGUAAAGUACUUUCAGCGGGGAGGCGUUACCCGCAGAAGAAGCACCGGCUAACUCCGUGCCAGCAGCCGCGGUAAUUC